GAAGCGGCGGGGGAGCACCCGGGCUUCAGGCGAGGGCGAGCGGCGGCGCCGUGUCCUCUUCUCCUCCUUCACCUCCGACACAUGGAGGUUGAGGUCGGGGAGCGCCGUCGGGGGCGCAUCCGCAGGAACCGCAACCGGCGGUUGGAGGAACUCCGUCACGGGGUCCUAGCCCAGCGGAACGAAGUGAUCCGGGUCCUCAUAGGAGGGCAUCGGAGACGGGAGGCACGGGCGCACGGCCUGUUCCCGGGGCGCUGGAAGUGGUGCAUCAGCGGCGGCCGUGUCGGAAGUUCCUCGUCGGAAAACUCGCGCUCUGAAUCGUCGAUGACCCAUCUGGCGCUUGUGUAAAACUUAUUUGCUAUGCAAUUAGAUGAAAUCUAGGCAGAUUGCUCUGUUCUCACGAAGUUGUUUACAGUUUGUAUGAUUUGAUAGAUGGAUCCUAUAUAUUCAUAUCUCAAGUCUUUAUGUCUGUUACCAGGGUCUACUGCGACCACCGUCCGACGGCCACAUCUUCCAUGUUGAAUAGGCUCUCGAAUUUUUCUGUAAGGCAGAGCCAUCGGGAGCAUCGAGAAGCAACAUCAAUGGCCCUGUACGGGCGGCAGCGGACAAAAAUGACGAGUGGAGCUGAGGCUCUAUGAAAUACACAUAAAGGGAUUCCAUGCGAAUAUAUGUUGAAGGUUCUGCAUUUCUUAAGUUAACUGAGUAUGCCAAAUUCUUGGCACUGUUCUCUUUUGUUCUUCCCAGUGAGAUUUUGAUUUUCUUUUCUGGUUGUACUCUUUGCAUAAUCUCAAACAUUCUCUUCUAAUGCAGAAUAAGACACACUUUGGUGUGUGUUUUUACAUUGCAGUUUCAAACUACGUUGUCCUCAAACAUUGUAGUCUCCAGUUGUCACAUGGUCUGUCCUUCAAAACAGCAGGUAAUAUUCAUAUUUAAUAUGCCGUUACCCCAUUGGUAGUCAACUUAGGAGCAGUUAAUCAAAUAUGUUGUUCACUAUCCAAGUAAUUUGUUGUCAGUCUGCUUCAAGCAUAUCUCUGAAGCCAGUUUUUUGCUUUACUGAUGGCUUUUCUGUAGAUGAAUAUAAAGGGUUUCAUGUUUCUUUAUGAUGUUUUGAUUAUAUAUCAGCGGCAUCACCAUUUUUAAUGGAAUUUCCCCUUAUUUAACAAUUCAGCAUCUAGCCCACCUGCAGUAAGACAUCGAAUCUGCGAUAUAAAGUGCCCUAAGUCUUGGUUAGUGAUUAAUGUAGGAAUUUGCGCCUUUCAGUAUUUUUUAUGUUCGCUACAUUGUUAUACUCCCGGAAUCAAAACCUCUAUGAGGAAGUAUUCGUGGAAAUAACAAGGAACAAUUGAUGCGGAAUUGUACUUAAGAAAUAUACGCAAGGAAACCGGCACCGCUGUACUGGAACGCAGUUGAUAUGAAUAUAUGCUGGAAUUAUACCCGGAACAGUAUAGAGUGGAAUGUCAGGUUGCCCGUAGGAUUGGCUCUAUGGAUUUGUAAAGCCCGCAACUUCGAAUUCAAACUCAGCGCACGACUUGCAUGCGUGUUUAGGACCUAAUUGAUUAACAUUUGGGAUCAGUAGAUGACUGUUAGUGAUUAUGGUUGGUUUAACAAGUCAAGGAGUUCUAUCUAGAAAUAGAUUGAAAUAUGCAGGAUUUGGAGUCUAUAUAAAGAUCUUUACCCUGAGCCUCAAUAUGCAUUGUGAGCGGCGCCACUGAUAACGCAAAGAAAUAAAGGGUAGGCUGACUAACUCCAAGCGCUAGGUUUCCUACAAUUAAUCCAGACAUUACAAGUAGUAAAUACAGAAAUCAACAACAACACACUCUGUCAGCGAAACUUGAAUUUUGCUUCCCUGACACAAUGGGACUUUUUCCAUAGUUUCAAUGCGAGGAAACAAGUUCAGUUAUAAUUUCCUGAAUUCAACUGAAAGAAGGGCUGGUUGGCCCAAUUUUUGUGUAGAAUGGUACCAGAUUUUAUUUUCAGGGUAAUAUAGUACUUUUACCAAGUUAAUAACCAAACCACAUUCCACACUGCUUAAAUGCAUUAUUACGGAUCGGAGAGAGUAACAAGCUUUGUUCUAGGAUGGGGUCCAUCUAUUUGUCAAGAUGUUGUGAAGUAGAAAGGAGAUGAAGAGCCACGGGGCUUGAAGUGAUAGAAAUGACGACGAUGCACGGCUGGACUACCAUGUGUGGAUGAUAAGAGAGACGGCUUAUGAUUUAACCAGCCUUAUUCUUAAAAUGGUAAAUAUCAACCAUAUACACGUUUGAUUCAUAUUUGUUCUAAAAGCGGUAUGUACCAACCAACCUUAUUUAGGAAGCGUGCUUUGAUAAAAUGUAGGAAAAACUUCCAAUAACCUGUAGAUCAGUUAAAUGGUUAAUACUGAAUCUACAAAAAUAAUAUCCUGCCGAUAAAUAUAAACAUAUGCAUGCUAUUCAUUUUACUAUUGCUCCAAAUAAUUUGAUUAUUUUGUUAAGAUGGCAUCAAGCUGUUGUAGAACCAUGUGAAGUGCCACCCUGAGGAAACUUUUACAACCAGGGGCCAAUAGGAAUAAAAGUCUUUAUCUAGGCUUACUAAUUUGCUACAACAAAUUAAUCGUCCAAUGCCUUCACCACCAUCUGUGACGACCUGAAUAUAAGCUGUCAUAUUCAGUACCUGCCAUAUAUUCAGGGUUAAUGUUGUUUUCUUUUUCACUUACAUGGUUUGCUUCCUAUAAGUGGAACUGAGCAUUCCAUCUGUCCUUGGAUUUUCAUGUUUUGAGCUAUAAUUGAUGUUGUUUUGUGUUAUGAGUCAGCUUGCCAUUUGUUCUGAUGGUUACAUAUGAAAUGCACAUAGCAGUAACUAUAUAUGUACUGAAGUAUAUUGUAACAAUCUAUUUUGGCUUUAUACUCAUAAUAAGCGACAAUGUAUCCAUACUGAAUGUCUGAAGAUCAUGACCUUAUGUAUCUGUGGCACUUCCAUGUGUUCGUAUAAUUUCAGAUGGUUUA